rnacentral:rRNA from 1 species
UAGGGAAUAUUGGGCAAUGGACGAGAGUCUGACCCAGCCAUGCCGCGUGCAGGAAGAAGGCGUUCUGCGUUGUAAACUGCUUUUAUCUGGGAAGAAAAGGCCCAUGCGUGGGACAUUGCCGGUACCAGAUGAAUAAGCACCGGCUAACUCCGUGCCAGCAGCCGCGGUAAUACGGAGGGUGCAAGCGUUGUCCGGAUUUAUUGGGUUUAAAGGGUGCGUAGGCGGUUGAUUAAGUCAGUGGUGAAAGUUUUGGGCUCAACCCAGAAAUUGCCAUUGAUACUGGUCGACUUGAGUAUUGCAGGGGUACAUGGAAUUGAUGGUGUAGCGGUGAAAUGCAUAGAUACCAUCAGGAACACCGAUAGCGAAGGCAUUGUACUGGGCAACCACUGACGCUGAUGCACGAAAGCAUGGGGAGCGAACAGG